ACUUUUCUUCUGGCUGUAGCAAGCUCUCAUCCUUAGUUUUUUUUUUUUAAUCCAAUUUUUUGUUUUCUUCUUCUAACUCAUUGUAGAAAAAAAAGUUUCCCUAGGGCUUGGCAAGAAGAUGGAUCGCUAGGAUCUGUAUCAACGUAGUGUGGUGAUAGUAGCAUGUUCGUUAAUUAUUCGGUGAUAUUGUGAUUGAAGAUGGACAGACUCAGCAGUCUGCCUGAUGAGAUUAUUUGCCACAUUGUUUUGUCCUUCCUUUCUGCAAAGGAGGCUGUUUUCGCAUCAGUUCUCUCAAAGAGGUGGAGGAAUCUCUUUACCAUCAUUCCCGGUCGUCAUUUCGCUAAUAUCUAUCAUUUCCGAAGCGAAUUCAUGGAUUCUGUGGAUUUUGUAUUGGCUUUACCGCUCAGUACCCGCAUAGGGAGAUUCUCUCUAAAAAAAAGUAUUCCAGGGAUUGGCGAACCAGCUCACUAUGAUCAUAUCAACCGUUGUAUAUCCAAUGUGCUGAAGCAUGGUGUCGUGGAUGUUGAUAUCCGCUUAAGUGUUGGAAACGAAUUUUCACUGCCUUCAGAGAUCUUCACUUGCAAAACAAUUGUUGUAGAACUUUGAACUCUCAAAGUGUUUAAGGAUCGGACAACACAGAUUUUACUCUGUUUUGUCUUACCUCUCUGUUUUGUAUAACGUAAAACCACACACUUUUAUUAGAUAUAUAAACUGUAUUUAUAGUUUUACAUGACA